GCGAAAAGUGCGGUGGUAAAAGUUAACAUUGAGUGUCAAGUGCGAGGAGAUGUCGUCAUCGAGUGCGGCCAUGUCGGCGAGAACACAGAUGAGGAGGAGGAGGAGGCCAUGUUCAGGAUCAUGUUCAACACCUGCUUCUUGGAGUCCAACAUGAUGGUGCUCACCCUGGACGACAUUGAUCUGCCAUGGAACUGCAGAAGGGAGAGAUUCCAAGAGGACUUCAAGAUCGAGGUGUUCUUCUUAGAGGUGGAUGUAUCGGACAAUGAUAGUCAUACAGCAGAAAUGUUGGGCGAUAGCCAUGAUGGGAAUGCAGAGUUGUUCUAUGAUUUUGAUGACAUCUCGAUAGACUCGGGUUCGAGCUCAAAGUACCAUGAACAGCAUGACGAGGACGGGGAGAGCAAAUCGUCAGAGACAGGUGGUUGCAGUUCAGAUGAGAAGGGAAGCAAUGGCAGUGGCAAUGAGGUCAGAUUUUUGCCUGAAGCUGACGUCACCAAAGACAGCUUAGAGGAAGAAACAGGCAAUCGACAAGAGGAAAGCAGCAAUGCUGUCCAACCAACACUUGUCACGAGUAAAGACCCAAAUGCAGACACAGCGUCAGACUUGCAAGAAAGCAGAAUGGCAAAAGGCACUUCUCAAGAAGCCUGCAUACAAGAGGGGGCUGACAGUAGUGUUAGAACUGAAGUCGAUCACAACAGAAUGGCAGGUAUUGGAGCCCUGAAACCUCAGCCUAAGAGGAGAACAUGGCAAAAUCUCAGCAAACAAUCUGCAAUUCCGAUCGUUAAUAAGAAGAAAGCGAAGAAACCAGACAUUGGACCAUCAGAUGUUAAGAAGCCUUCGAAGGGAAAGAUGCUCCUCAAGCAAACCUUGCAGAAGGGAAUCCUCAUCGCAACUUCUAGCUGUAAGAGCAGUACGGUUCAAGCUAACACAGGUCCAGUUCCUCGCAAGAAACAUGCCAAUGCUAUCAGAUCGAAUCACGGAACAGGUCAAGCAACAAAAACUCCAACUCAUUCUAAAACGAAAUUGGAGAAUAGCUCACAUCAACAAACAGGAGAUACAGCGACCCAAAAAGAUGAUGCGAUUGAAAACACCACAGAGACAGAACCAGCAACUUCGAUCAUUCCAACGCGUCCACCAAGCCCUCCAAGAAAAAGGUUAAAUCCAGAAGGCAGCAAAGAUAGCCUUAGACGACCUAUAGAAACAGCCAUGAAAUCACCUACUCCUACAUCUGGCAACUCAUCAACUGGAGGAGCAGCAAAACAGGAGGCGACAACGGCAUCAACCGAAGCACAUUCUGCAAAAGUGGUUCUGAAGAAAUCCCUGUCAUCACCAGCUAUCUCGCGAUCACUGACAACUACUUCAUCAUCAUCACCAAAGAGGAGGAGCAAUGUGACUUCUCAUCCUAGCUCAGUGCUGCGUUGCGUCUUCUUCCUCACCACGAGCACGAGCAUCUCCUUCGCCACCAAGAUCACCUUUGGCCAGCUCCAAGGUCAGCAGAGCAGCAUCAGCUACUCGGCUAGCGACGCAGCCGGUCACAUCAACGCAUUCAAGGAUGCCUCGCCGUGCAUCAUUCGGCGAGUCAACCUCCACGAAUGGGCGUUCUCUGUCGCCGAGAACAUCUACGACUACAAAGAACCAUCCCAUUGGCAUGAAAGACAGCAGCAGAAGCUUGUCACCUCUAUCACCAAGAUCGGCAAGACCACGGCCAUCACCACUAGAGACACAUACUACAGCUACCACAGCGCCAGCAAGGCCAACAAGAUUUAG
rnacentral:lncRNA from 1 species